rnacentral:rRNA from 1 species
UACGUAGGGUGCGAGCGUUGUCCGGAAUUAUUGGGCGUAAAGAGCUUGUAGGCGGUUUGUCGCGUCUGCUGUGAAAAUCCGGGGCUCAACCCCGGACUUGCAGUGGGUACGGGCAGACUAGAGUGUGGUAGGGGAGACUGGAAUUCCUGGUGUAGCGGUGAAAUGCGCAGAUAUCAGGAGGAACACCGAUGGCGAAGGCAGGUCUCUGGGCCACUACUGACGCUGAGAAGCGAAAGCAUGGGGGAGCGAACAGGAUUAGAUACCCCGGUA